AAACUGGGAUUAGAUACCCCACUAUGCCUAGCUGUAAAAUAUUAACCCACACCAAACUCGCCAGGGAAUUACGAGCCCAAGCUUAAAACCCAAAGGACUUGACGGUUUCCCAUCCCCCUAGAGGAGCCUGUUCUAUAAUCGAUUCUCCCCGAUCAACCUCACCACUUCUUGAACACACAGCCUGUAUACCUCCGUCGCAAGCUUACCCUAUGAAAGCACAUUCAGUGAGCUUAAAGAUCCUACACCCACACGUCAGGUCAAGGUGCAGCCAAUGAACUGGAAAGAAAUGGGCUACAAUCUCUACUUUAGAACAAACGAAAGACUGCAUGAAACACAGUUACUGAAGGCGGAUUUAGUAGUAAAAAGAAAAUAGAGAGUUCUUUUUAAUUGGGCACUAGGAUGCGUACACACCGCCCGUCACCCUCUUCAAAUAAUAAAUUUUUUUAAGUUUAUAACCUAAUACUCUUUUACAGAAGAGGUAAGUCGUAACAUGGUAAGCGUACUGGAAAGUGCGCUUGGAACAAA
rnacentral:rRNA from 1 species